rnacentral:rRNA from 1 species
UACGUAGGGUGCAAGCGUUAAUCGGAAUUACUGGGCGUAAAGCGUACGCAGGCGGCUAUGUAAGACAGGUGUGAAAUCCCCGGGCCUAACCUGGGAACUGCAUUUGUGACUGCAUAGCUAGAGUCCGUCAGAGGGGGGUGGAAUUCCACGUGUAGCAGUGAAAUGCGUAGAGAUGUGGAGGAACACCGAUGGCGAAGGCAGCCCCCUGGGAUGGGACUGACGCUCAUGUACGAAAGCGUGGGGAGCAAACAGG